GUCCGUUUGCCAAUAAGCAGUGAUUAGUUUCUUUUGUUUGUUUUUCUAUUGUUUACCUACUAUAUUAGAUGAUGACUUACCUCCAAAACGCUUUAAAACUUUCGUUUAUAAUUCUAAGUGUGUUUAUAAUUAAAGAGCUACAGUGAAAUAAAAUGAAUUCUUCAAGAAAGGCAGCACCCAUGACAAAAGAUGAGACGAUGAUUCUAGCAGAACUUGUGGCGGCGAAAAAACAUUUCAAUAAUAAGGCAACAAAUGCCACAAACAAUAAAUUGAAGGAGCAGGCUUGGCAAACCCUUGUAAAUGAUUUUAAUUCGUCGAUUCGUCGUUUCCCACGAACUCCAUCGCAGCUUCGACUAAAAUGGGAAAAUUUAAAGAACGCUACGGCAACAUAAGAAACAACCUUAGUAAGGCUGGAGGUGGUAAGGAUUGCAGAUGAAAUUUUGGAUAAAGCAUGCACAUUGUUGUAGGUCACAUAUAAUAUUUUUAACACUUUUACAGCCAAGCGGAAACAAGAUGGAAGAAAAGAAAUGCAAGGCUAGCAUAGGGACAAUGCAUUAGCAGAAUAUCUAAUAGCAAAAAAGAGACUUGACUUGGAAAAUAAAGAAAAGGAGAUUGUUGUAGCAAAAGUUAAGUUAGAUUUAGAUAAUUUAAAAAAUUAAAAAUUACUUAAAAGGAAUAUUAAAUUUCAUAAAUUAAGUAGGCAAUAAUAAUUUUAUGUUAGAUAGUUUUUUAAGUAUAUGUACAAAUUCUAAAUUAAAUAUCUUGCAUGUACUAACUACCAUGUAAUUAUCAUUUUGGAAAAUAAAAAAUAGUCAAAUUA